UACGUAGGGACCAAGCGUUGUUCGGAUUUACUGGGCGUAAAGGGCGCGUAGGCGGCAAUUCAAGUCAGUUGUGAAAUCUCCGAGCUUAACUCGGAACGGUCAACUGAUACUGCUUUGCUAGAGUACAGAAGGGGCAAUCGGAAUUCUUGGUGUAGCGGUGAAAUGCGUAGAUAUCAAGAGGAACACCUGAGGUGAAGACGGGUUGCUGGGCUGAUACUGACGCUGAGGCGCGAAAGCUAGGGGAGCAAACAGG
rnacentral:rRNA from 1 species